rnacentral:misc_RNA from 1 species
GUUUUACAUGUUUGUCAUGUUGGGUUUCAUUUCCUGUUAAUGGAUUUGACAGAUGUCUGGGAAUCAAUGACGUAAUUGAAGAUAAAACCAAAGAAUGAUUAAUAAAUUGAAACGAAUUAAGUUUUGCGACUAAUCUGAACAGAAGUGAUAAAUUAACUUCACAUAUUGAUGCUUUUCUCCUCUGCUUUAGUGGUUAGUUUAAGUUGGAAAUGUACUGGCUCAAAGCAUACCUCCAGUAGCAAACUUUUUUUAAUGUUGUAACUAAAAUGCUGUUGCCUUUGUCUUGUCACGUAUCAUUUCAACAUAACUUUGUUCUGUAUCAUGUCCUCAUGAUUAACAUUAAACUAAUUAAAUUAUUGUGGUACAGUUGUAUGCUGAUU